rnacentral:pre_miRNA from 1 species
CGAAUAAGUGAAUAAAGAGAGCUGUCCGUCGACAGUCCAGUUAAACGAUUUUAAAACUGUCAUGGAAUUGCUCUCUUUGUAUGAUAUUCG